rnacentral:piRNA from 1 species
UAAAAGAGAAUAACAUGAACCCCUGAACAGA